rnacentral:lncRNA from 1 species
UAACUUUCACUUUAUCCAACCGAUGUUUAUACUCAAUUGCAGCUGUAGUAGCUUGGUUCUCACUGAAGAUUCGGUUUAAUGAGGAAUCACAGUGUAUCUGAACCAAAUCAUCUAAACUGCAUGUACAACGCUCCAAAGCAAGGUAGACAAAAUCUUUAUCAUACUCCACCCCAUACCAUCGAACGAUAUUUGGAUGCCUGUCUGAUGCAAUAAGAUUCUGAAUUUCUUUGAAAGCCACAUCAUGAUGAGCUUGAACCAAACGUUUCACUGCAACAGAUCGACCUUCAUAUAUACCUUCAAGGACAAUGGUACCAUUGCUUCCCUUAGCAAUUUCUGAAUUUGAUGCAAAUAAUUUACCAAUUCUACGUCCAUCAACACCACCAUCAACAAGUUUAUUAAGGUCCAACACUGUUUUGUCCUCGAAAACAGCAAAAGCAUAGGAAGAUUUUUGGCAUACCUCAUCAAUGCUAAUAGAAGAGAUGAUGGAUAACCGUUUGACUUCCACAAAUUAAAGUCUUGUACUGUAACUUUCACUUUAUCCAACCGAUGUUUAUACUCAAUUGCAGCUGUAGUAGCUUGGUUCUCACUGAAGAUUCGGUUUAAUGAGGAAUCACAGUGUAUCUGAACCAAAUCAUCUAAACUGCAUGUACAACGCUCCAAAGCAAGGUAGACAAAAUCUUUAUCAUACUCCACCCCAUACCAUCGAACGAUAUUUGGAUGCCUGUCUGAUGCAAUAAGAUUCUGAAUUUCUUUGAAAGCCACAUCAUGAUGAGCUUGAACCAAACGUUUCACUGCAACAGAUCGACCUUCAUAUAUACCUUCAAGGACAAUGGUACCAUUGCUUCCCUUAGCAAUUUCUGAAUUUGAUGCAAAUAAUUUACCAAUUCUACGUCCAUCAACACCACCAUCAACAAGUUUAUUAAGGUCCAACACUGUUUUGUCAUUGCCAUCACCAAGUUCAGAUCCAUCCCCAUUUUCACAUGACACAUCUGAAUCCUUUGCCUCAACAUAGCCAUCUUUUUUUCCUGACUUCCUGUUUU